rnacentral:rRNA from 1 species
GACUGUAGGCUGCAACUCGCCUACACGAAGUCGGAAUCGCUAGUAAUCGCGGAUCAGCAUGCCGCGGUGAAUACGUUCCCGGGCCUUGUACACACCGCCCGUCACACCAUGGGAGUUUGUAACCGCCCAAAGUCGGUGGCCUAACCUUUAUGGAGGGAGCCGCCUAAGGCGGGACAGAUGACUGGGGUGAAGUCGUAACAAGGUAAC